GUCAGGACAAUCUCAAUGUCGAAAAGUAGUCGGCAGCGAGGAGGAGGAAGAUAACGCGCGCAAAUCGCAGAGCGAACGGUACAUAGAUAGCUGUUAUUCCGCGGGGUUCUUUCUCGAACGAUCCUCAUAAGCUCGACAUAAAAUAACUCCAUUUUCGCACUGGCAAUGCGCUGCUGUUCAACACCUGGAGCGGAAGUCACGACGUAAACGUGGCAUCGCCGAGAUGCACUUGGAAUGAAGAAUCGUUCAUUCACAUUCAGCAUUGUCGGCAAACAUGCGCGGAAUGACUCGGAUAUAAACCCGCGCAAUCUCUUGCCGGCUGGUUAGUGUGUACCUACCUUAAGCUUGAGAAGCCAACCGGUUCGGCCACAGGCAAGAUGGCCGCUGUGAAAGUAGAAGGGUGAGGAAGAAGAGGGCAGUCAGUCGAGCCAAGGAGAUUUCUCGGAGAAAAUUUUGCCCAUUCAUCUUUUUGGUUGGCAACAAAGAGUUCUCAUCGAGAAAUUAACAUGAUUGUAUAUAGAAGAGCCAAACGUCUAGCAUUAUAAAGUAAAUUUCAUUAUGCGCUUGUAUAGCGAGGUCAUU